UACAGAGGGUGCAAGCGUUGUUCGGAAUUAUUGGGCGUAAAGGGCGCGUAGGCGGUGCGGUAAGUCUGCAGUGAAAUCUCUGGGCUCAACUCAGAGUCUGCUGUAGAAACUGCCGUGCUUGAGUGUGGGAGAGGUGAGUGGAAUUCCCGGUGUAGUGGUGAAAUGCGUAGAGAUGCGGAGGAACACCAGUGGCGAAAGCGACUUUCUGGUCCUUAACUGACGCUGAGGCGACGAAAGCGUGGGGGAGCGAACGGG
rnacentral:rRNA from 1 species